rnacentral:rRNA from 1 species
UACGUAGGGUGCGGGCGUUAAUCGGAAUUACUGGGCGUAAAGCGUGCGCAGGCGGCCUCUUAAGUCAGAUGUGAAAUCCCCGGGCUUAACCUGGGAACUGCGUUUGAAACUGGGAGGCUAGAGUGUGGAAGAGGGGGGUGGAGUUCCAGGUGUAGCAGUGAAAUGCGUAGAGAUCUGGAGGAACACCGAUGGCGAAGGCAGCCCCCUGGGCUAACACUGACGCUCAUGCACGAAAGCGUGGGGAGCAAACAGG